UGAGGUACUGUAGAUGCCGUUGGAAAGAUUUAGCAAAGCAUUUCAUCAAUAAGACGCAUUGUAGCUGUAAUAAGUCGUACGUCCUGUUUUUGAUCACGCCAGUUUUUUGUUUCCCGCACAAUGCUGAUCGGAUAUCACAACGAUAGUCUGACGGCGCUUUUAAAAGAUCAAUUUCAGGAAAGUUUAUUAUGUCUACAGUUACCGGCAACGUUAAGUUCUUCAACGAAGCGAAAGGUUUUGGUUUCAUCACUCGUGAAGGCGGCCCGGACGUAUUCGUUCACUACAGCGCUAUUCAAGGCGGUGGUUUCAAGACUCUGGCCGAAGGCCAAGAAGUUGAGUUCACCGUGACUCAGGGCCAGAAAGGUCCUCAGGCGGAGAACGUUGUUGCUCUGUAAUCCUUAACGGAUUAAGCAAUAACCGCGAAAAAAGGCAGCUUCGGCUGCCUUUUUUUAU
rnacentral:sRNA from 1 species